rnacentral:rRNA from 1 species
CCCUUAGAUGUCCUGGGCUGCACGCGCGCUACACUGAUGUGUCCAGUAAGCACCUAACCUCUUCCGAAAGGAACGGGUAACCUUUGCAAAGCACAUCGUGAUGGGGAUAGAUUAUUGCAAUUAUUGAUCUUGAACGAGGAAUUCCUAGUAAGCGCAAGUCAUCAACUUGCGUUGAUUACGUCCCUGCCCUUUGUACACACCGCCCGUCGCUACUGCCAACUGAGAUGGGUCCUGAAUUGUUAGGAACGCCCGUCAAGGGGCCUACCCGGUCCCUAGUGCGGUGACGAGAAUAACUGUAAAUGGCAUAUCUUGUAGGGAGUAAAAGUCGUAACA